rnacentral:rRNA from 1 species
UACAGAGGGUGCGAGCGUUGUCCGGAAUCACUGGGCGUAAAGGGCGCGUAGGCGGUCCGGUAAGCGUGCGGUGAAAGCCCGGGGCUCAACCCCGGGUCGGCCGUGCGGACUGCGGGACUGGAGCCGAUCAGAGGCAGGCAGAAUUCCGGGUGUAGCGGUGGAAUGCGUAGAGAUCCGGAAGAACACCGGUGGCGAAGGCGGCCUGCUGGGGUCUUGGCUGACGCUGAGGCGCGACAGCGUGGGGAGCAAACAGG